rnacentral:pre_miRNA from 1 species
AAGAUAAUAGCUGGGUUAGAUGGUGCUUCCAUUCCCAGAUUUCCAAGGAAUCUCCAUACUGCUUUCCAUAUUGGCUGCACCAAUUUGCAUCCCCACCAGCAAU